UCUAUCAGGGUAUCGAACUCUAGUCUGGU
rnacentral:sRNA from 1 species